GCAAUCGUAAGUUAAUGGUAAACUCGUCGGUUUCCACCCGGUCUAUGCGCGUUCAAUUCGCGUCGAUUGUA
rfam:Babjeviella inositovora NRRL Y-12698 unplaced genomic scaffold BABINscaffold_21, whole genome shotgun sequence.